GCAAGAGCUAUUGCGUACUGGAAUUUUGUCAAAUUCGCAGGAUGGAGGUUGCCUUGUUCUUCCAAGUUAUGCUAGUUUGAAGGAGAAGAUGAGUGAAGUAGUUUCAACUGAGUCUCAAAUGUUUCCACAUCUUGGUAAACAAUUGCUUGAAGCUGCAGAGGCCUGUGAGGGUAUGAGUGGAAGAUCACUUAGAAAGCUACCAUUCUUGGCACAUGCUGCACUUGCUAAUCCUUACAGUUGUGAACCUG
rnacentral:misc_RNA from 1 species